rfam:Oryza rufipogon genomic scaffold, chr12
AUCCCAUGAUGAGGACAGGAGGCCACAUAUUCCUGGAGUCGUUCCCACGCCUCAGGAAUGGACUCGUCCCUCGUCUGCUGGAAACUUGAAAUUCUGCCACGAAGGGC